AGUCGAACGAUGAACCACUUCGGGGGGAUUAGUGGGGAACGGGUGAGUAACACGUGGGCAAUCUGCCCUUCACUCUGGGACAAGCCCUGGAAACGGGGUCUAAUACCGGAUACCACUUCCACUCGCAUGGGUGGGGGUUGAAAGCUCCGGCGGUGAAGGAUGAGCCCGCGGCCUAUCAGCUUGUUGGUGAGGUAAUGGCUCACCAAGGCGACGACGGGUAGCCGGCCUGAGAGGGCGACCGGCCACACUGGGACUGAGACACGGCCCACACUCCUACGGGAGGCAGCAGUGGGGAAUAUUGCACAAUGGGCGAAAGCCUGAUGCAGCGACGCCGCGUGAGGGAUGACGGCCUUCGGGUUGUAAACCUCUUUCAGCAGGGAAGAAGCGAAAGUGACGGUACCUGCAGAAGAAGCGCCGGCUAACUACGUGCCAGCAGCCGCGGUAAUACGUAGGGCGCAAGCGUUGUCCGGAAUUAUUGGGCGUAAAGAGCUCGUAGGCGGUCUGUCGCGUCGGAUGUGAAAGCCCGGGGCUUAACCCCGGGUCUGCAUUCGAUACGGGCAGACUAGAGUGUGGUAGGGGAGAUCGGAAUUCCUGGUGUAGCGGUGAAAUGCGCAGAUAUCAGGAGGAACACCGGUGGCGAAGGCGGAUCUCUGGGCCAUUACUGACGCUGAGGAGCGAAAGCGUGGGGAGCGAACAGGAUUAGAUACCCUGGUAGACACGCCGUAAACGGUGGGAACUAGGUGUUGGCGACAUUCCACGUCGUCGGUGCCGCAGCUAACGCAUUAAGUUCCCCGCCUGGGGAGUACGGCCGCAAGGCUAAAACUCAAAGGAAUUGACGGGGGCCCGCACAAGCAGCGGAGCAUGUGGCUUAAUUCGACGCAACGCGAAGAACCUUACCAAGGCUUGACAUACACCGGAAACGGCCAGAGAUGGUCGCCCCCUUGUGGUCGGUGUACAGGUGGUGCAUGGCUGUCGUCAGCUCGUGUCGUGAGAUGUUGGGUUAAGUCCCGCAACGAGCGCAACCCUUGUUCUGUGUUGCCAGCAUGCCCUUCGGGGUGAUGGGGACUCACAGGAGACUGCCGGGGUCAACUCGGAGGAAGGUGGGGACGACGUCAAGUCAUCAUGCCCCUUAUGUCUUGGGCUGCACACGUGCUACAAUGGCCGGUACAAAGAGCUGCGAAACCGUGAGGUGGAGCGAAUCUCAAAAAGCCGGUCUCAGUUCGGAUUGGGGUCUGCAACUCGACCCCAUGAAGUCGGAGUUGCUAGUAAUCGCAGAUCAGCAUUGCUGCGGUGAAUACGUUCCCGGGCCUUGUACACACCGCCCGUCACGUCACGAAAGUCGGUAACACCCGAAGCCGGUGGCCCAACCCCUUGUGGGAGGGAGCUGUCGAAGGUGGGACUGGCGAUUGGACGAAGUCGUAA
rnacentral:rRNA from 1 species